UGGGGAAUCUUCCGCAAUGGACGAAAGUCUGACGGAGCGACGCCGCGUGAGUGAAGAAGGCAUUCGGGUCGUAAAGCUCUGUCAUCAGGGACGAACGGCCGGUGGAGUGGAAAGCCACCGGAUUGACGGUACCUGAGAAGGAAGCCACGGCUAACUACGUGCCAGCAGCCGCGGUAAUACGUAGGUGGCAAGCGUUGUCCGGAAUUAUUGGGCGUAAAGCGCGCGCAGGUGGGAUCUUAAGUCCAUUUUGAAAGUUCGGAGCUCAACUCCGUGAUGGGAUGGAAACUGGGAUUCUUGAGUACCGGAGAGGAAAGCGGAAUUCCCCGUGUAGCGGUGAAAUGCGUAGAUAUGGGGAGGAACACCAGUGGCGAAGGCGGCUUUCUGGACGGUGUCUGACACUGAGGCGCGAAAGCUAGGGGAGCGAACG
rnacentral:rRNA from 1 species